rnacentral:rRNA from 1 species
GAUGAACGCUGGCGGCGUGCCUAAUACAUGCAAGUCGAGCGAACAGACGAGGAGCUUGCUCCUCUGACGUUAGCGGCGGACGGGUGAGUAACACGUGGAUAACCUACCUAUAAGACUGUGAUAACUUCGGGAAACCGGAGCUAAUACCGGAUAAUAUAUUUAACCGCAUGGUUCAAUAGUGAAAGACGGUUUUGCUGUCACUUAUAGAUGGAUCCGCGCCGCAUUAGCUAGUUGGUAAGGUAACGGCUUACCAAGGCAACGAUGCGUAGCCGACCUGAGAGGGGGAUAGGACACACUGGAACUGAGACAAGGUCCAGACUCCUACGGGAGGCAGAAGUAGGGAAUCUGACGCAAUGGGCGAAAGCCUGACGGAGCAACGCCGAGUGAGUGAUGAAGGUCUUCGGAUCGUAAAACUCUGUUAUUAGGGAAGAACAAAUGUGUAAGUAACUAUGCACGUAUUGACGGUACCUAAUCAGAAAGCCACGGCUAACUACGUG